AUGCUUCUAGCUAUACCUGCCAAUCUUCAUACGAGAAAAUUGCACCACGUCGUUGCACUUACCGGUUGGCUCUAUGAAGUUCAAAAUUUUCAUGUCAGUACAUUCAUGUUCAAGCUUCUUAGUUCUGGAUCAUUUAAAUAUCAAUAUUGGUUGUUCUUGUUCAUACUAAAAUUCAUCCCUAUACUUUUUCGGAUGGAUGGGGUACAACUUACAUAUCUGGUGAUAUUUUUCUCUGUCCUCAAUUUUGAUUCUGUGCACCCUUUGUUACUUGUAUACCCAUUUGAGCGACAAGCUUUUUGGAAUGGAAGGAGUACAACUUACAUAUCUGGUGGAGCGGUCGCUGGAAGGGGCCAAUUGCACAAUCUUAGAGAUCCAACGGAGACUGAGAGCAAACUUUGA
rnacentral:rRNA from 1 species